UUUUGACUCUGAGAGAGCAUAGUUUGUGGACGUGAAGUGUUAAAGAAUUAAAAUGUUGUUGGUGUCACCGAUUUCGUACGAGCACAAGAUGGCAAUGGCUACAGCAACGCACAACUCCGUCGCUUCGACGAUGGAGUCCUCUCAGACCCUCAUCCAGUCGGAGUCGAGGGUCCAGAGGAGCUACCAGGAGGUCCAGGUGUCGGAACAGCGGCAGGUCAAGAAGAAGAAGUCAAUGAGGAGGCAUAAGGACGAGGGGACUAUUUCUGU